rnacentral:rRNA from 1 species
UGGGGAAUUUUGGACAAUGGGCGAAAGCCUGAUCCAGCCAUGCCGCGUGAGUGAAGAAGGCCUUCGGGUUGUAAAGCUCUUUUAGUCGGAAAGAAAGAGUUGCAAUGAAUAAUUGUGAUUUAUGACGGUACCGACAGAAAAAGCACCGGCUAACUACGUGCCAGCAGCCGCGGUAAUACGUAGGGUGCGAGCGUUAAUCGGGAUUACUGGGCGUAAAGGGUGCGCAGGCGGUCUUGCAAGUCAGAUGUGAAAGCCCCGGGCUUAACCUGGGAAUUGCGUUUGAAACUACAAGGCUAGAGUGCAGCAGAGGGGAGUGGAAUUCCAUGUGUAGCAGUGAAAUGCGUAGAGAUGUGGAAGAACACCGAUGGCGAAGGCAGCUCCCUGGGUUGACACUGACGCUCAUGCACGAAAGCGUGGGGAGCAAACA